GUGAAUAAAUUAUUAUUAAAUAUUUAUUGUUUGUGUGAUUUAAUGUUUAUAUAAAUUUAAAUUAUUUGUUUAUAAGGUAUUAAGAGUAUAGAUAUAAUGUUUUGUAAAGUACUGUGAAGGAUAAAAAGAAUAUUUUUUUAUAGUAGAUUAUUAAUUCGUACCUUUUGUAUAAUGGAUUAAUAAUAUAUUUAAUUUAUAUAAAUUAUUCUCGAAGUGAAAAGAUUUACUUAAUAUAUUUAUGUUAACGUGGUAUAGUUAUAUAAUUAGUGUUGAGUGGUAGUGAAAUAUUUAUCGAUUUUCAUGAUAGCUAGUUUGUUGAUAAGGAAUAUUUAAGUAUUUUAAUAUUAAUAUAAUUUUAUUUAUUUAAUAUUGUUUAUAUUAUGAGGGAUAAGCUUCAUAUUAUGUAUAGAGUAAAUUGUAUUUAAUUAUAAUUAGAGUAGAGUUAAUAAUGCUUUUCUUAAUAAGUAGUUUAAAUAUAAUUAUGUUUUUUUUUUCAAGUAAUAUAAUCAUAAAUGUUUAUAAAUUAAUUUUAAGUAAAUAUAAUGUUAGUAUGAGUAUUAAUUAGGGUUAUAAAUUUAAUUAUUUUUAAUAAUAAAUAUAUAUUGUUUAAUUAAUAAAGUGAAUUAAGGUAAAGGAAUUCAGCAAAUAUUAAUCUCGCCUGUUUAUCAAAAACAUCUCUCUUUGUAUAUUAUAAAUAAAGAGUUGGGCCUGCUCGGUGAUAUUAAUUUAACAGCUGCGGUAUUUUAACUGUACUAAGGUAGCAUAAUAGUUUGCCUUAUAAUUUGAGGCUAGAAUGAAUGGUUUGACGAAGUUUAAUCUGUCUCUAUUUUAUUUUAUAGAAAUUAAUUUUUAUAGUGAGAAAGCUUAAAUUUUUUAAAGGGACGAGAAGACCCUAUUGAGCUUAUAAUUUUAGUUUAUUAUAAAUAGUAAUAUUAAAUAAAUUUUAAUUGGGGUGAUUAAGGAAUAAAAGGUGUUAAGUAAGAGUAACUUCCUUAGAAUAUAUGUAUAUUUAUAAAUUAACCAAUAUAAUAUAUUGCUUAUAAUAUAGUUACCAUAGGGAUAACAGCGUAAUUUAUUUAGAGAGUUCUUAUUAAAAAAUAAGAUUGCGACCUCGAUGUUGGAUUAAAGUAACCUUAAGGUGUAGAAGCUUUAAUAGGUAAAUCUGUUCGAUUUUUAAAACUUUACAUGAUCUGAGUUCAGACCGGCGUGAGCCAGGUUGGUUUCUAUCUUUUAAAAAUAUUAAAUGGUUUCUUUUAGUACGAAAGGAUCAAAGUUAACUGAAUUAUUAAUUAUAGUAUUGAUGUAUUGUUUAAGGUUAAUAUAAUUUAAAUGGAUAAUGAAUUACAUUAAAUGUAUAAACAUGUUCU
rnacentral:rRNA from 1 species